rnacentral:misc_RNA from 1 species
UGGUUCUGGCAUCGAUGAAGAACGCAGCGAAAUGCGAUAAGUAAUGUGAAUUGCAGAAUUCCGUGAAUCAUCGAAUCUUUGAACGCACAUUGCGCCCUUUGGUAUUCCGAAGGGCAUGCCUGUUCGAGCGUCAUUGCAACCCUCAAGCGCAGCUUGGUAUUGACCGUCGUCCCUGCGACGUGGUCGGAAUUCCGUGGCGGUUCAGCGAGACUCCAAGCGAUCAAGAUUUUACAUCCCGCUUUGCAAGCACCUCGUCGAGCCGGCCAGUCAAUAGAAAAUUUUCCGGUUGACCUCGGAUCAGGUAGGGAUACCCGCUGA